rnacentral:rRNA from 1 species
CCUACGGGUGGCAGCAGUGGGGAAUAUUGCACAAUGGGGGAAACCCUGAUGCAGCAACGCCGCGUGAGUGAGGAAGUAUUUCGGUAUGUAAAGCUCUAUCAGCAGGGAAUAGAAAAGAAGGUACCUGAAAAAGAAGCACCGGCUAACUACGUGCCAGCAGCCGCGGUAAUACGUAGGGGGCAAGCGUUAGCCGGAUUUACUGGGUGUAAAGGGAGCGUAGGCGGAAAGGCAAGUCAGAAGUGAAAGCCCAGGGCUCAACCAUGGGACUGCUGUUGAAACUGUCAAACUAGAGUACGGGAGAGGUAGGCAGAAUUCCUGGUGUAGCGGUGAAAUGCGUAGAUAUUAGGAGGAACACCAGUGGCGAAGGCGUCUUACUGGACCGAAACUGACGUUGAGGCGCGAAAGCGUGGGGAGCAAACAGGAUUAGAUACCCGGGUAGUC